AGAGUGCUUCCUCAGGUAGCUGUGGAGCAGGGUCAUAAGACACAGAAUUUAUAGCAAAUGAUCACAGUGUCAUGCAACAGAUGGGACAUAUUAAACAAAUCUAUAUUGCAGAUUAAUCUUUCAUCUUUUAGUAUGGGUUGCACGUUUCAAUUCAUUAAUAGGUAAUCCCCCAAACUACUUUUAAUUCACCUUCUUGAGAUGAUUUAAGGUUUUAUAAAAAUAGGUGACAUCGCAGCUCAGAUACUGCACAAAAGUGUCUGUAUCCCAAUCUUGAAUCAGACUGGUUCUACUAACCAAAGCAGGAAUUUAUAAAAU